AGGGACUGCCCGCGCGAAUGGCUUCGAACGCAUGCGCUCCACCCUACAUUUCACAGUCGCCAUGACGACCGGGAGGUCCGCUCGUCAACGGCUAGUCAACGGCUGCGGGGACAAGUCCGUUGAGGCUGCCAGGCGAGUCAGGCCUUUCUGGACCUCGCCUGACUCGGAUGGGCUGUGCCUGAAAUUGACCCAGCUCCACUAGGGAUUAUGAAGAAACAAGGAGUAAACCCAAAGCCGCUGCAAUCUUCCCGCCCCAGCCCGUCUAAGCGGCCGUACGGGGCCUCCCCCGCCCGGGAGCUGGAGGUGGAAAAGUCGGCCCUAGGCGGCGGGAAACUGCCAGGGGGCGCCAGGAGGUCCUCCCCGGGGAGGAUCCCAAAUCUGAAAAAGCGAAAAGGCUUGGAGCUAAAGGUGGUGGCCAAGACCCUUCUCGACCCCUUCCAGUUCGUCCGUAAUUCCCUGGCGCAGCUCCGGGAAGAGGUGCACGAACUGCAGGCGCGGUGGUUCCCCAGCAGAACCACUCUCAGCAUCGCCAUCUUUGUGGCAAUUCUACAUUGGUUACAUUUAGUAACACUUUUUGAAAAUGAUCGUCAUUUCUCUCACCUCUCAUCUUUGGAAUGGGAGAUGACUUUUCGCACUAAAAUGGGACUUUAUUAUUCCUACUUCAAGACCAUCAUUGAAGCACCUUCAUUUUUGGAAGGACUGUGGAUGAUUAUGAAUGACAGGCUUACUGAAUAUCCUCUUGUAAUUAAUACAGUAAAACGCUUCCAUCUUUAUCCAGAGGAUUGGGAGAUCCUGCUUGCUUUUAUGUUGGUGUAAUCUUUAUUUUAAAUGGACUAAUGAUGGGAUUGUUCUUCAUGUAUGGAGCAUACCUGAGUGGGACUCAACUGGGAGGUCUUAUUACAGUACUGUGCUUCUUUUUCAACCAUGGAGAGGCCACCCGUGUGAUGUGGACACCACCUCUCCAUGAAAGUUUUUCCUAUCCUUUCCUUGUACUUCAGAUGUAUAUUUUAACUUUGAUUCUCAGGACCUCAAGCAAUGAUAGAAGGCCCUUCAUUGCACUCUGUCUUUCCAAUGUUGCUUUUAUGCUUCCCUGGCAAUUUGCUCAGUUUAUACUUUUUACACAGAUAGCAUCAUUAUUUCCCAUGUAUGUUGUGGGAUACAUUGAACCAAGCAAAUUUCAGAAGAUCAUUUAUAUGAACAUGAUUUCAGUUACCCUUAGUUUCAUUUUGAUGUUUGGAAAUUCAAUGUACUUAUCUUCUUCUUAUUCUUCAUCUUUGUUAAUGACGUGGGCAAUAAUUCUAAAGAGAAAUGAAAUUCAAAAACUGGGAGUAUCUAAACUCAACUUUUGGCUAAUUCAAGGUAGUGCCUGGUGGUGUGGAACAAUCAUUUUGAAAUUUCUGACAUCUAAAAUCUUAGGCGUUUCAGACCACAUUCGCCUGAGUGAUCUUAUAGCAGCCAGAAUCUUAAGGUAUACAGAUUUUGAUACUUUAAUAUACACCUGUGCUCCCGAAUUUGACUUCAUGGAAAAAGCGGUAUGAAUGUUUCCUUUUUCCUUCUUUACUAAUAUGAGUUUUUGCUCUAGGUUUUUUUAAAAUCUGAAACUCAAAAUUUUUGCACAGAAACAGUCAACUUAUUUUAUUUUUUUUACUGUAACUUUUGCUAAUCUACCUUCCUCACUUGUUUUUUUGUCUGUUAAAAAAAAAAAUAGCCUCUAUCUUAUAGAGUUAUUGAUGAUGGUUAAAUGAGAUAAUCGGAGAAGAGUGUUUAACAUACUAUAUGACCCAUAAUAAUUACUAUUAUUACAAAUCAAUUACUUUUAAUAAUCUAGGCCACUUGGAAAUAUGGGACCAUUCAGGAAAAAGUCUAAAUUCUUGUUUCUGUUUUUAAGAAAUUCAGUUUUAUUACAGUUAACACCCCAAAUAUUAUAACAUUUUUAACAAGAUGUUAUCAAGAA
ensembl:lncRNA novel transcript